rnacentral:sRNA from 1 species
AACGUUGCCAACGGCAACGGCCCGAAGGGGGAGGAGCGGAGCGACGAAUAAUCCUUCCCCCACCACCA